CCUACGGGGUGCAGCAGUGAGGAAUAUUGGUCAAUGGCCGGAAGGCUGAACCAGCCAUGCCGCGUGAAGGUCAGUGCCCUAUGGGCGUUAAACUUCUUUUGUGCGGGAGCAAUAAUGGUCACGUGUGGCCAGACGAGAGUACCGUACGAAUAAGCAUCGGCUAACUCCGUGCCAGCAGCCGCGGUAAUACGGGGGAUGCAAGCGUUAUCCGGAUUUAUUGGGUUUAAAGGGUGCGUAGGCUGUGAGGUAAGUCAGCGGGGAAAUGCCCCCGCUCAACGGGGUGAAGUGCCAUUGAUACUGCCUUGCUGGAAUGCGGAUGCCGUGGGAGGAAUGUGUGGUGUAGCGGUGAAAUGCAUAGAUAUCACACAGAACACCGAUUGCGAAGGCAUCUCACGAAUCCGCGAUUGACGCUGAUGUACGAAAGCGUGGGUAUCAAACAGGAUUAGAUACCCUUGUAGUC
rnacentral:rRNA from 1 species